UUUCCGAAGAGUUGCCAACGACUGCGUCCGUUGGUACACCGAAGGAGCAAGCGGCCGGUUCCGUUGGAACGGUGCGUGAAUCUCUCAGGUACAGUGACGGAAGGG
rnacentral:ncRNA from 1 species